rnacentral:rRNA from 1 species
UACGGGGGGGGUAAGCGUUGUUCGGAAUUACUGGGCGUAAAGGGCUCGUAGGCGGCCAACUAAGUCAUACGUGAAAUCCCUCAGCUUAACUGGGGAACUGCGUGUGAUACUGGUUGGCUUGAAUCCAGGAGAGGGAUGUGGAAUUCCAGGUGUAGCGGUGAAAUGCGCAGAUAUCAGGAGGAACACCAAUUGCGAAGGCAGCUCGCUGGGACGUACUGACGCUGAGACGCGAAAGCGUGGGGAGCAAACAGG